UACGUAGGGGCUAGCGUUAUCCGGAAUUACUGGGCGUAAAGGGUGCGUAGGUGGUUUCUUAAGUCAGAGGUGAAAGGCUACGGCUCAACCGUAGUAAGCCUUUGAAACUGGGAAACUUGAGUGCAGGAGAGGAGAGUGGAAUUCCUAGUGUAGCGGUGAAAUGCGUAGAGAUAUGGAGGAACACCAGUGGCGAAGGCGGCUUCCUGGUCUGUAACUGACACUGAGGCGCGAAAGCGUGGGGAGCAAACAGGAUUAGAUACCCCCGUAGUCCCUGAGCGGG
rnacentral:rRNA from 1 species